GACGGAGGUAAAAUGGAUAGAGGUAGGGUGCUGAUGUGUAGGGGUAUGUGUAGGGGUAGAAAUGUGUAGGUGUAGAGAUGUGUGUAGGUAACGAUGUGUAAAUGUAGAUAUGUAUAGGGGUAUAAAUGUGUAGAGGUAUAGAUGCGUAGAGGUAGGGGUAGAGAUGUGUAGGGGAAGAGAUGUGUAAAAGUAAAGAUGUGUAGAGGUAGAGAUGUGUAAAGGUAAAGAUGUGUAGGGGUAGAGAUGUGUAGGGGUAGAGAUGUGUAGGGGUAGAGAUGUGUAAAGGUAAAGAUGUGUAGGGGUAGAGAUGUGUAGGGGUAGAGAUGUGUAGGGGUAGAGAUGUGUAAAGGUAAAGAUGUGUAGGGGUAGAGAUGUGUAGGGGUAGAGAUGUGUAAAAGAACAGAUGUGUAGAGGUAGAGAUGUGUAGAGGCAGUGAUGUGUCGAGGCAGUGAUGUGUAGAGGUAGAGAUGUGUAUAGGCAGUGAUGUGUAGAGGUAGAAAUGUGUAGAGGCAGUGAUGUGUAGAGGCAGUGAUGUGUAGAGGCAGUGAUGUGUAGGGGUAGAGAUGUGUAGAAGCAGUAAUGUGUAGAGGUAGAGUUGUGUAGAGGCAGUGAUGUGUAGAGGUAGAGAUGUGUAUAGACAGUGAUGUGUAGAGGUAGAGAUGUGUAUAGGCAGUGAUGUGUAGGGGUAGAGAUGUAUAGAGGCAGUGAUGUGUAUUGGCAGUGAUGUGUAGAGGCAGUGAUGUGUAGAGGCAGUGAUGUGUAGAGGCAGUGAUGUGUAGAGGCAGUGAUGUGUAGAGGUAGAGAUGUGUAGGGGCAGUGAUGUGUAGAGGCAGUGAUGUGUAGAGGUAGAUAUGUGUAGAGGCAGUGAUGUGUAGAGGUAGAGAUGUGUAGAGGUAGAGAUGUGUAGAGGUAGAGAUGUGUAGAGGCAGUGAUGUGUAGGGCUAGAGAUAGAAAGUAAAGGACAUGAGAUAAAAGGAGAUAGAAGUAGAUAACUGAGAGCAAAACAAACACAACGUCCUCACUCACCAUGCAUCAUAACUCUCCUCAUGUCACUGUCUCAGAAACGAACAACCUCCUUCUCACACACACAGACAUCAUCUCUUGAAUGAUGGAGAAACC
ensembl:lncRNA